rnacentral:rRNA from 1 species
GACGAACGCUGGCGGCGUGCUUAACACAUGCAAGUCGAACGGAAAGGCCCUGCUUUUGUGGGGUGCUCGAGUGGCGCACGGGUGAGUAACACGUGAGUAACCUGCCCUUGACUUUGGGGUAACUUCAGGAAACUGGGGCUCAUACAGGAUAGGAGCUCCUGCUGCAUGGUGGUGGUUGGAAAGUUUCGGCGGUUGGGGAUGGACUCGCGGCUUAUGAGCUUGUUGGUGGGGUAGGGGCUUACCAAGGCUUUGACGGGUAGCCGGCCUGAGAGGGUGACCGGCCACAUGGCGACUGAGAUAGGGCCCAGACGCCUACGGGAGGCAGCAGGGGGGAAUAUGGCACAAUGGGCGGAAGCCUGAGGCAGAAACGCCGCGUGCGGGAUGACGGCCUUCGGGUUGUAAACCGCUUUCGCCUGUGACGAAGCGUGAGUGACGGUAAUGGGUAAAGAAGCAACGGCUAACUACGUG